AUCCCCUGACAAAGAGCAAAGAGACACUUCAUUGGUGGUGGUGUUCUUAAAUCAAUCAGGGGCAGAGCAAAUGGUAGUCCUUUGUUCAUCCUAGCUUGACACCUGGCUCGGUGGCUAAUACUGUUUCAUGCCUAGGACACAAUC
ensembl:snoRNA